UACGUAGGUGGCAAGCGUUAUCCGGAAUUAUUGGGCGUAAAGAGCGCGCAGGUGGUUGAUUAAGUCUGAUGUGAAAGCCCGGGGCUCAACCGCGGGACUGCAUCGGAUACUGUAGAUCUGGAGUGCCGGAGGGGCAAGCGGAAUUCCUGGUGUAGCGGUGAAAUGCGUAGAUAUCAGGAGGAACACCGGCGGCGAAGGCGGCUUGCUGGACGGCAACUGACGUUGAGGCUCGAAAGCGUGGGGAGCAAACAGGAUUAGAUACCCCGGUA
rnacentral:rRNA from 1 species